rnacentral:tRNA from 1 species
GCCGGAGUAGCUCAGCUGGCAGAGCAACGCAUUCGUAAUGCGUAGGUCGGUGGUUCGAAUCCACUCUCCGGCACCA